rnacentral:rRNA from 1 species
UACAAUGGAGAGUUUGAUCCUGGCUCAGGAUGAACGCUAGCGGGAGGCCUAACACAUGCAAGCCGAGCGGUAUUUGUUCUUCGGGACAGAGAGAGCGGCGUACGGGUGCGGAACACGUGUGCAACCUGCCUUUAUCAGGGGGAUAGCCUUUCGAAAGGAAGAUUAAUACCCCAUAAUAUUUAGAAUGGCAUCAUUUUAAAUUGAAAACUCCGGUGGAUAAAGAUGGGCACGCGCAAGAUUAGAUAGUUGGUGAGGUAACGGCUCACCAAGUCAGUGAUCUUUAGGGGGCCUGAGAGGGUGAUCCCCCACACUGGUACUGAGACACGGACCAGACUCCUACGGGAGGCAGCAGUGAGGAAUAUUGGACAAUGGGUUAGCGCCUGAUCCAGCCAUCCCGCGUGAAGGACGACGGCCCUAUGGGUUGUAAACUUCUUUUGUACAGGGAUAAACCUACUCUCGUGAGAGUAGCUGAAGGUACUGUACGAAUAAGCACCGGCUAACUCCGUGCCAGCAGCCGCGGUAAUACGGAGGGUGCAAGCGUUAUCCGGAUUUAUUGGGUUUAAAGGGUCCGUAGGCGGGCCUGUAAGUCAGUGGUGAAAUCUCAUAGCUUAACUAUGAAACUGCCAUUGAUACUGCAGGUCUUGAGUAAGGUAGAAGUAGCUGGAAUAAGUAGUGUAGCGGUGAAAUGCAUAGAUAUUACUUAGAACACCAAUUGCGAAGGCAGGUUACUAUGUCUUAACUGACGCUGAUGGACGAAAGCGUGGGGAGCGAACAGGAUUAGAUACCCUGGUAGUCCACGCCGUAAACGAUGCUAACUCGUUUUUGGGUUUUCGGAUUCAGAGACUAAGCGAAAGUGAUAAGUUAGCCACCUGGGGAGUACGUUCGCAAGAAUGAAACUCAAAGGAAUUGACGGGGGCCCGCACAAGCGGUGGAUUAUGUGGUUUAAUUCGAUGAUACGCGAGGAACCUUACCAAGGCUUAAAUGGGAAUUGACAGGCUUAGAAAUAGGCUUUUCUUCGGACAAUUUUCAAGGUGCUGCAUGGUUGUCGUCAGCUCGUGCCGUGAGGUGUUAGGUUAAGUCCUGCAACGAGCGCAACCCCUGUCACUAGUUGCCAUCAUUAAGUUGGGGACUCUAGUGAGACUGCCUACGCAAGUAGAGAGGAAGGUGGGGAUGACGUCAAAUCAUCACGGCCCUUACGCCUUGGGCCACACACGUAAUACAAUGGCCGGUACAGAGGGCAGCUACCUAGCGAUAGGAUGCAAAUCUCGAAAGCCGGUCUCAGUUCGGAUUGGAGUCUGCAACUCGACUCUAUGAAGCUGGAAUCGCUAGUAAUCGCGCAUCAGCCAUGGCGCGGUGAAUACGUUCCCGGGCCUUGUACACACCGCCCGUCAAGCCAUGGAAGUCUGGGGUACCUGAAGUCGGUGACCGUAACAGGAGCUGCCUAGGGUAAAACAGGUAACUAGGGCUAAGUCGUAACAAGGUAGCCGUACCGGAAGGUGCGGCUGGAACAUCUCAUUUUAGA